rnacentral:rRNA from 1 species
AGAGUUUGAUCCUGGCUCAGGACGAACGCUGGCGGCGUGCCUAACACAUGCAAGUUGGACGGCUGUGGAUGGAAGCUUGCUGAAGUGCACAGCAGUAGCGGACGGGUGAGUAAUGCAUGAGUACCUGCCCUGGGGAGGGGGACAACAGCUGGAAACGGCUGCUAAUACCCCGUAAGCCGGGAGGUGAAAGGGAGCGAUCCCGCCCUGGGAUGGGCUCAUGUCCUAUCAGCUGGUUGGUGAGGUAACGGCUCACCAAGGCGACGACGGGUAGCCGGACUGAGAGGUCGACCGGCCACACUGGAACUGAGAUACGGUCCAGACUCCUACGGGAGGCAGCAGUGGGGAAUAUUGGGCAAUGGGGGCAACCCUGACCCAGCGACGCCGCGUGAGGGAAGAAGGCCUUCGGGUUGUAAACCUCUUUUGUAUGGGAAGAAGGACGUGACGGUACCGUACGAAUAAGUCCCGGCUAACUACGUGCCAGCAGCCGCGGUAAUACGUAGGGGACGAGCGUUGUCCGGAAUUACUGGGCGUAAAGGGCGCGCAGGCUGUGCUGCAAGUCAGCUGUGAAAUAUCUGGGCUUAACCCGGUUAUGCGGUUGAGACUGCAGUGCUGGAGUGCUGUAGAGGCAAGCGGAAUUCCCAGUGUAGCGGUGAAAUGCGUAGAUAUUGGGAAGAACACCGGUGGCGAAGGCGGCUUGCUGGGCAGCAACUGACGCUGAGGCGCGAAAGCCAGGGGAGCAAACGGGAUUAGAUACCCCGGUAGUCCUGGCCGUAAACGAUGAAUGCUAGGUGUGAGUGUAGAGAUACAUUUGUGCCGGAGUUAACGCGAUAAGCAUUCCGCCUGGGGAGUACGGUCGCAAGAUUGAAACUCAAAGGAAUUGACGG